CCCUUAGAUGUCCUGGGCCGCACGCGCGCUACACUGACAUGUUCAACAAGCCUCCUAGUUCGACAGGAUUUGGGAAAUCUUUGAACGCAUGUCGUGAUAGGGAUAGAUCAUUGCAAUUAUUGAUCUUGAACGAGGAAUUCCCAGUAAGCGCGAGUCAUAAGCUCGCGUUGAUUACGUCCCUGCCCUUUGUACACACCGCCCGUCGCUACUACCGAUUGAACGGUUUAGUGAGGGCCUCGGAUUGGUCUCGGCCCGCUCUUUACCGGGCGGCGCCGUUGGUCGAGAAGACGCUCGAACUUGAUCGUUUAGAGGAAGUAAAAGUCGUAACA
rnacentral:rRNA from 1 species